UACGUAGGGUGCGAGCGUUUAAUCGGAAUUACUGGGCGUAAAGCGUGCGCAGGCGGUUCGCCAAGUCAGGUGUGAAAUCCCCGGGCUUAACCUGGGAAUUGCGCUUGAAACUAGCGGGCUUGAGUGCGGCAGAGGGGGGUGGGAAUUCCACGGUGUAGCAGUGAAAUGCGUAGAGAUGUGGAGGAACACCGAUGGCGAAGGCAGCCCCCUGGGCUAACACUGACGCUCAUGCACGAAAGCGUGGGGAGCAAACAGG
rnacentral:rRNA from 1 species